rnacentral:lncRNA from 1 species
CGCAGCUCUCAGAUUUCAGGUUUCCCUGAAGAGCCGGGCUUCGCUUGUGUCAACUGUAUUUUUAGGGCUCCUGCGCCGAAACGAACACUUAGGCUUUUGGUGUUCUGGCGCGGGAAGGUCCGAUCUUUCCGGUCGGAGGAAGAAAUUUCAGGUUGGCUUAGGUCUCCACAGAGUAAGGCCAGAGCCUGCCGGCUGGGGUUGGGCGUGUGCUGACGGUGGCAUAGGGUGACUGUAUCUGUAGGUGUGUGUGUCUGUCUGUCUGUCUACACUCCUUGAGCUCUCUGCAUUAUCUGUGUCUCUGUACUUGUCCCUUUUUGCUCCUGCUUUCUCUCGCGGCCACAGGGACUGAAGCAGAGGAUCAAGUUUCAGUAAGGAGAGGUCAGGUGCGGAGUCUGAAGGGAAGCUUUCCCUGAGGUUCAGACUUGAGC